UUCUCCCAUAUAUGCUCCUUUGUAUUAGUCAAAGUCUAGUCAGGAAAAAAGAAAUCUGAAUGUUUCAAUUAGAAAUGGUGUAAUAAAAAGAAAAGAAAAUAAAUGAUGUAAUACAAUGAUUAAUUGGUUACUGGAUAUUCCAAAUAUAAGUGCUGUAGUACAAAGACUGGUCACAUGGGUGGGACAACACCUGAAAGACAAAUAGGGGAAUGGGAGGUAAACUGAAGGUUAUUAACUCCAGGAAGGCUGAGGAACUAAAGAAAGGAGGUGUUGGAACCAGGUCCUGGGAGCAGAAGAAAGUUCCCACUUCAAAGGUUGCCACUACUUUCUGCACUGAGGUCUGAGAGGAAGGACCACGCUGUGGAUGCUGGAGUGGCGGAAGCCAGGCAGAUCCUUCCAGAGACACUGUCAAUGAAGGAAAAGACAAAGAGCCCUAUGGGAAAAGAAAAUACACACUGACCAAAUGCUGAGCCUGUUAUGAAUUCUGUGAUUUCAAAAGAGAAGUGAGCUAAGCCUGAGAUUAAGCUUCUCUGUUUUAGGGGACUCUGUUGAUAAAUUAUCCUAAUAGGAAUGGAUACCAACUUUUUGUGUGUGUAAACUUGUGAGAGGUCAUGGUCCGCCCCUCCACCCAGCUUUUUUCUCACCUAUCUCCUUGGAAGUCCAACCCCAUAAAAUACUGAAACUAUUAAUUCACAAGACAUGUGCACAGAUCUUGUUUAGUUCUGCCCCUAAUCUUGCUUUCAUAAAUAUUUGAAAAUUGCAGCUAAAGCCAAAUUGUGCUUCUCACAUAAUGGAACUGCAGGCUAGUAUAGCAGCGCAAUCCUUUAAAGUUCCUGGAGGGGGGAAGUGAGAGAUGAUGAGAUUUGGGGACAGUUUAUGUGAGCAAUUUGUUAUGCAUGCAGGAGGAAUGGCGACUUGAUGACAGAUUCACUUCUUGGUCCUGAACCUUAAUUAACAAGGCCCUCUGAGUAACAUGCGGAGAAACAAUAGGAAAAUUCUUCUGAGCAUUUCACAGAUUAUUCACUUAUAAUCUUUGGGGAUUUAUUUUAUUAUUAUUUUUCUUUCUUUGUGAGCUGCAGCUUUGUUGCCUUGACAUCCACACUCAAGAGUUAUUGGUAUCAAACCAAGCUAUAUAAAAAGCUAUCAAGCACUUCUCAGAUUUUCCACAGUUCAAAGCAGUGUUGGCAGCCUGCCAGCCAUGAAAGAUGAGCUGCACCCCAAUGUGAUGAGUGUGGCUGCACGUGCAAAAGGGAGCUUGGGGGUGAGGUAGGAAAGGCUGCCAACUUAGAGAACCCCACAGGGGAGAAAGCUGGAUCCAUCCCCAUAGACCUGAGGGUCAAUUCUGCCCCUGCAGGGAGCAAACGAAACUAAUAAUGUUGACUAGGUACAACCAUCAUAGAAAUAUUACAUUCUUGGAAAAUAAUUUUUUAAAAGAGAAGAAUCCAGCUAUAUUAACCAGAAAAAUAUCGGCGAGGAUUUUAUUUAUUUUGGCCCCAGAUACACCGGAGACCUUAGGUCUGGGAAUCUGCUGAGACCAAAACACCAAUGUGUAGGACCUGAGGUGAUAAUAUUCUUCUUACAGACAGAUGAUAUAAAAUUAGGAAUUUCUAAGAAAUCUUGGAACAUUCUAUUAUCCCUGAUUUUGCCUGUGCACAAGCUUCAACUUUACUUUUUAAUUUUUGUUCAGUCUUUUCCAAUCCCAGUUGGUAAAUGGAGGUGAAACCAUGAGGCACAUUUUAGUUUGUUUUAAUCUUUCCAAAACUCAGUGAUGCUUGGAGUCAUUUUCAGGUAGCAUGGUUGGCCGUGUUGUUGCAAAUUAGGACAUUAAGACCCAGAGACAUUCUGUUCUUAUCAAAGCCCGCGUAGCUAGCAAACACCAGAACUGAAACCCAAAUUUCUACAAUCACCAGUCACCCUCUGAUCCAGGAAUAUAUCAUCCACUGAGUAACAGCAUAUUCACUUGUAAAUGCAAACAUCAUAUAAAGCUAUGUAGAGCAGCAGUCCCCAACUUUUUUUGGCACCAAAGAGCAGUUUCAUGAAAAACAAUUUUUCUACGGACUACAGGGUGUGGGGAGAUGGUUUUGGGAUGAAACUGUUCCAGCUCAGAUCAACAGGCAUUAGAUUCUCAUAAGGAGCUCACAACCUAGAUCCCUCACCUGCACAGUUCACAAUAGGGUUCACACUCCUAUGAGAAUCAAAUGCUGCCACUGAUCUGACAGGAGGUUGAGCUAAGGCAGUAAUGCUUGCUUGCCUGCCACUAACCUCCUGCUGUGUGGCCCAGUUCCUAACACGCCCUAGACCAGUAGCCGUUGGGGGCCCCUGAUGUAGAAGACUCUGUUGGUGCCCCAAGUAUUUUCUCUGCCAGUCAUUUGUGGGUAUUCUAUGUUACACAAAUUGAAAAUGCAAGUUAACCCACUGAAGUGACCCUCAACCAAUGAAGGAUAGAAAUUGGUGGAUAGGGCUGGGCACGGUGGCUCACACCUAUAAUCCCAGCACUUUGAGAGGCUGAAGUGGGUAAAUCACCUGAGGUUGGGAGUUCGAGACCAGCCCGACCAACAUAAAGAAACCCCAUCUCUACUAAAAAUACAAAAUUAGCAGGGCGUGGUGGCGCAUAUCUGUAAUCCCAGCUACUCGGGCGGCUGAGGCAGGUGAAUCCCUUGAACCCGGGAGGCAGAGGUUGCAGUGAGCUGAGAUCGUACUCCAGUUGCAGUGAGCCAUUGUACUCCAGCCUGGGCAACAAGAGUGAAACUCCAUCUCAAAACAAAACAACAACAACAACAAAAAAAAAAAAAAAAAAAAGAAAAAAGAAAUUAGUGGACAGCUCUCACAGCAUCUUCACUACUUAGUGGCAUAAUUUCUAUGCACAUUCAACACAGGUUCUCAAAGUGUCCACGUUGGACUGAGACUUAGUUAUCUACAGCAGUGACCAAUUCAUUAAUGUUCCUUUUUCUGUGACCUAUUCAUUAACGUACCUUUCUCUUUCCCUGUCUCAGUUCUUCCCUCUCACUUUCAAAUAUAUUACUUGCACCCAAAUCAACCCAAACCAACACCAUUAACUUGCAUAUUUAUCACGUACUACAUCUAUCAAUGAGCCCAGAAUCCAAAGAUCUCGCAACAGAAAGAAAAACCCAGUUGGAUCUUUGUUUCCUGUUCCAGAUAUAGCUUUACCUACGACAAGAGAAUUGCUACUUUCUUUUCAAAGUACUUUAUGCUACCAUGAUAUUUUAAGAAUAAUGCAAUUUGAUUGGAGGACAGACUUGUAUAAAAGCAAUUGAGAAUAAAAUGAAUAUCUACUUCUAAAUUCUACCAACCAGAAAUAACUACUGUUUAUAUUUUGGUAAAUACAAUUGUAUAUACAUAUAUGUUUACAAAAUAAAACAGUUUCAUAUAUUGUUUUAUAAC
rnacentral:lncRNA from 10 species